GCAACUUCAGUGCUGACAGAUUUAGUUAGUUUUUUUUAGUUAACUAACUAAAUCUGUCAGCACUGAAGUUGCU